AUAUUUAAGACACAAGGCACUGGACUAGCAGUGAGAGCACAGGUGGAGGAAUCCUUCAUCAUCUCAUUUAUUUUCAAGUUUGUAAGUGGACAAGACUUCAAAAGACAGACAAACUCAUAAUUCACCAUGAUUAUCAGGUUGCUUCUCCUGGUGUUACUACCAGUAGUAUUGAACGUCCAACCUGUGGAUGGAGCGCUGAAGGACAGAUGUCCUGGACUCAACAUCACAACUGCAGCUCCUCCAACUACCACAACUACAACUACAGCUCCUCCAACUACCACAACUACAACUGCAGCUGCCUCAACUACAACAACUACAACU